GACGAACGCUGGCGGCGCGCUUAACACAUGCAAGUCGAACGGAAAGGCCUGCUUUUCCUUGUGGAUUGCGGGUACGCGAGUGGCGAACGGGUGAGUAACACGUGAGUGAUCUGCCCCCAACUUGGGUAUAAGCCUGGGAACCUGGGUCUAAUACCCGAUAGGACUGCAGGGUUGUGCCUGUGGUGGAAAACGAUUUUCUAGUGGUUGGUGAUGAGCUCCCGGGCUAUCUGCUUGUUGGUGGGGUUAUUGCCUACGAAGGCGGCGACCGGUAGCCAGCCUGGGAGGGGGGACCGCGACACUGGGACUGGGAUACGGCUCAGACUGCUACGGGCGGCAGCAGUGGGGAAGAAUGGACAAUGGGCGGAAGCGUGAUGCAGCGACGCAGCGUGGGGGAUGACGGCAUUCGGGUUGUAAGCUCCUUGCGACCGAGAGAUAGGCAACUGGCUGGAAGGGUGGUGACGGUAGUGGUAGAAGAAGCACCGGCUAACUACGUG
rnacentral:rRNA from 1 species